rnacentral:rRNA from 1 species
AACGAACGCUGGCGGCAUGCCUAACACAUGCAAGUCGAACGAGACCUUCGGGUCUAGUGGCGCACGGGUGCGUAACGCGUGGGAAUCUGCCCUUCGGUUGGGAAUAACUGAGAGAAAUUUCAGCUAACACCUUAUACUGUCUUCGGACCAAAGAUUUAUCGCCGGGGGAGUAGCCCGCGUAGGAUUAGGUAGUUGGUGGGGUAAUGGCCUACCAAGCCGACGAUCCUUAGCUGGUCUGAGAGGCUGAUCAGCGACACUGGGACUGAGACACGGCCCGGACUCCUGCGGGAGGCAGGAGUGGGGAGUAGUGAACAAUGGCCGAAAGCCUGAUCCAGCAAUGCCGCGUGAGUGAUGAAGGCCGUAGGGUUGUAAAGCUCUUUUACCCGGGAUGAUAAUGACAGUACCGGGAGAAUAAGCUCCGGCUAACUCCGUGCCAGCAGCCGCGGUAA